rnacentral:tRNA from 12 species
GGGUCGUUAGCUCAGUUGGUAGAGCAGUUGACUUUUAAUCAAUUGGUCGCAGGUUCGAAUCCUGCACGACCCACAA